GGUAUUCCAUACCAUCUGACGUCAUGCUAAACAACAUAUUGUUUAGAUUAGCCUGGCCCCUGCACAAGGAUGACAUGCAAAUUCGUGAAGCAUUCCAUAUUUUU